GUGUUGAUCGGUACGCGUUGAUGUUGAUAGGGUAUCGAGUUGAUGGAUGUUGAUCGGGUAUCGAGUUGAUGAUGAUGAUCGGGUAUCGAGUUGAUGUUGAUAGGGUAUCGAGUUGAUGAUGAAGAUCGGGUAUCGAGUUGAUGUUGGUGUAGCAUGAGUUGAUGUGGUGAUAGGCUAUCGAGUUGAUGUUGGUGAUUGGCUAUCGAGUUGAUGUUGGUGAUAGGCUAUCGAGUUGGUGACAGGCUAUCGAGUUGAUGUUGGUGAUAGGCUAUCGAGGUAUCGAGUCGAGUUGAUAGCGAUAGGGAGUCGAGUGAUUGGGUAUUGAGUUGAUAGGCUAUGCGAGUUGAGUUUAUAGGCUAUCGAGUUGAGUUGUAGAGUUUUUGAUGACUGCCUGUUCCUUUGUAGGCUUUCCUCAGUACACAGAAUGCUUCCUCCAUCUGUAGGCUUUCCUCUGUACACAGAAUGCUCUAUCCAUCUGUAGGCUUUCCUCAGUACACAGAAUGCUCUAUCCACCUGUAGGCUUUCCUCAGUACACAGAAUGCUCUAUCCAUCUUAGGCUUUCAUCAGGUACACAAAUCGCUACCAUCUGUAGGCUUCCUCAGUACACAGAAUGCUCUAUACCUGUAGGCUUUCCUCAGUACACAGAUACUCUAUCCUCGGUAGGUUUUUCCUCAGUACACAGAAUGGGUCUUUUAGAAUAUUUAAUGGACUUAGAGGGGUGAUGUGACAUUAUUUUAAUAUAUUUUUAGGAAGUUGUCUGAUUUCAGGAGAGUAUUUAAACUUCAUAUUACAGAGGUAAAACUAGUUGCCUCUGAGGAAAACAUAUUCACUACAUUUUUUGAGAUUGUGAUUGGCUGAUAGGUGGUGACUGGUUACAGUUUGUGAAGGAACACUGAUUGUAAAAAAUGUUUAAACAUUCUCUUUCUAUUGGCGAUGAUGUAAUAAAGGCCCCUGAUUGUUGAAAGUCACUUUGGUUACAGUACAUGAUCAGUGUGAUGACAACGGAGAGGUCGGGGGUCAUUGGCUGAUUUGAUUUUGGCAACUGGCUCCAAUAACAAGAAUUUCCUGAAGGAAGCCAUGUUUCUGUUCUGUGUCGGCCGAUGUAUUCAAGAAAAACAAAUUAUACUACUGUGAAGUCUGCGUUGUUUUAUUUAUCAUCGCUAGAAUCAAGUCUCUUGUAAAAUAGUGAAACCACAAGUAACAGAAUACAUUUUAUGAAAUAUAAUUAUGCCACAAAAUAGCAAC
rnacentral:lncRNA from 1 species